GUCGGGAGGGGCGGGAACUGGGGAGUUUCGCCAAUCGGUGCAGACUCCGGUUCUCCCCAACCCCGGGCCUGGGCAGCUGGGCACUGGGGCGCCGUUCCCCACCCGGCGCGGACUUCGGAACCGGCCCUGGGACUGACUGGCUCUACCACUCGAGCGCGUCUCCGCUGGACCCGGAACCCCAGUCGGUCCAUUCCCCGCGAAGAUGCGCGCCCUGGCGGCCCUGAACGCGCCCCCGAACGAGCGGCUCCUUCCCCGGGACCCCGCGGCUACCCGGGACCCCGACGCCGCGCGACCGGCGCGCAGGAGCGCAGUGGAGAGGCUGGCGGCGGAUCGCGCCAAGUAUGUGCGGGGUCGGCCGGGGACUGGCCGGGGCGUCGCUUCCGAGGGCAGCGGCCCAGGGGCUAUCAAGUGCCCGGGGAACGACCCUGGGCCCCCGGCCCGCGCCCCGGCCCCGGUGGCGCGCAGGGCUAUUGCGCGGAAGCCGUUGAGACCGGACUCGCUGAUCAUCUACCGGCAGAAAUGCGAAUUCGUGCGAGGAUCGGGCGCCGACGGCCCCAGGGCAAGCCUGGUGAAGAAGCUCUUCCAGGGGCCGGGUAAGGACAAGGCGCCGGUGCCCCAGACGGGAGACGAGGGCAAGGCCGGGAACCCGGAGACCGUCCCGACCACUCCUGGCCCCGCAGCGGACCCCGCAACCCCCGAGACCCCAGCCCCAGCCGCGCGGUCCGCGGCGCCCUCCAGUGUCCCGGCCGCGCCCCCUGGCCCAGAGCUGCGGGUGGUGAGGCGUCGGGGGCUGCAGCGCUCGCAGUCGGACCUCAGCUCCCGCUAUUCCGCUGCCUUGGCCGAGUCUGACACCUUCUUCCAGUACUGCGGCCUGGACCCCGAGGUGGUGGAGGCCCUGGGGAGGGAGAACUUCACCGCGGGGUCGGACUGUGUGACCCUCAAGGUGCGCAGCGUGAGCGUCGCCACCUCCGGCAGCGGCUUCUCCCGGCACAGCGGCGGCGACGACGAGGGGCUGCAGGAGGAGGAGCUGAUAGAGCAGGUGCCCAGCACCACUUCGGUCAUCGAGAGGAACGCCCGCAUCAUCAAGUGGCUGUACACCUGUAAGAAGGCCAAGGAGACCCCCAGCCAGGAGCAGAGCCGGACCCGAGGAAGUAACCUCCCUUUGGACAACCAGCAGUGCCGGAUUGACCUCGAGCUCUUUUUGCUUUUCACUGGGGAACUGAGGAGUGCUGGUCUUCACUGUUACCUGCUCUUCCCUAUGGGCGUCUUGGAAAGUAGUGAAGAGAAAGAACCUUUUCAGGGCUGUCUUUGAGAACGAACAAUUUAAACUUUGCGACAUCUUUUUUUUCCUCUUACCCUUCAAUGACAACUUGCUAUAAGUAAAUUUUAAAAAUCAUGAGAUGAAAUUAUUUUCUGCCACUGUGAUAAACUAAGUGAAGAUGCAUGGCAGCCUGUAGAGUUUGGGGGAGGCUGCCCAAGAGAUGUUUGCACAGGGCUCACCUAUGUUUGACAGCUAAAAAUAUCUCCAAUAAUUUAUCUGGCUAUGACUUUAGUACAGACAUGAAAAUUAAUGAGAAGAAGAUAAUUCAUUCUUUUUCUUGAACUCAGAAGGCUCAGGACUUAAGUUCUUCCUUAUAAUUUAUAGAAGAUUUGUGUUUUCCACUAGCCUAAGUUCCCAACAAAUAUAUAUAGGCAAAGUUCUAAAAAGCAAGCAAACAUUAACUUGUAGUUUUCACAAAUUGUCCUUUGGAUCUGAGAUGAAUGAAUGAAUGCUGGCAAGGGUAUUUCCAUGAUGGCACCAUGUGUAGGGCAGGAGCUUUGGAGAGUGGCCAGGUCCGUGGAGGGACAGUGUCUGGUGGAUAGAGCACUAAACCAGAAUUAAGGGCCUGUCUUAUGUUAGCAAAUGAUUCCUGCACUAUAGACCAGGCGUCCUUUGUCCAUAAAAAGAAGGGAGAUAGGCGGAUGGUUUUCAACCUCUGCAUUUUCUAGUCUGUGUAGUAAUAAUCUGUGUUGCAUGACUGAAACCCAGAAAUGGAAAACAAACAAAAAAAGGUUGUCUAUUGAAGUACGUGAGAAGUAAAUUUAUGAAUAAGCUCCCUCCAGGUAGCCAUAGCACGUGCAGGCAGUAGGUAGACUUGGUGGUAUAAAUAGUGGGGAGGUAAUAAUGUGGCAUACAAAUGAAACCAAAGUAAAACCUGACAACAUAAAAAUAAAAGCAGCCUGCUCUGAUCCCUCCAGACCCAGGCUGGUUCCCAUCUCGAAUUAGCCAAUGUCAAAAGAGUGACCUGAAUGAGAAUUUAGUUGACUUCAUAGACUAAAUCCUAAAGACCUUUUAGGCUUGGACCUAUGAAAAAUAUAAGAAGUUUAGUUAGCUUGUGAGGACUUUCACUUUUAUGACAAAGAGAAAUAGUUGAAGGAAGAGGGAAAGUGAGAGCAGGUUUGGGAAGGCACUAAGGAUGGAGGCAGGAAAAAGGCUCAUGGGCUUCUUCCUCCCCUCAUGUCUCCCUCCACCUGAAUCCCGUUUGUUCCAGACUGGAGACAAUGGCAACUGUCUUCUGAGAAGUUUCACAUUAUUUCUCAGAGCAGGGGGACAGUCCCACAGAAGCUACCCCAGUUUUUAUAUGGAAUUGGCAGUCACCAGCACUAUAAAGAUUUUCUUUACUAAUGUGCUUCCCUAGACCCAAAACAGCACAGGCCUCUUUGAAACUGCAAUGCAGAGACUUACUGCCCGGCUACCAGGGGUGGGGGGUAUGAGGAGAACAGAGUUGCCUGGGCUUUCUCCAGAUCACUGGAACAGUGUCUGCUCAUGACCUUAGCCCCUCCACAGCUCCCCACCUCCCAGCACUGGUGUUCCCACUGGAGGAGACCAGCAGGGAAAGUCACGACAGAGUGUGAACACCUGGUCAGUGGGGCGGUCCUCUGACUUCCUGCAGAAGUCCCUUGUUCUGAGACCAGUUCUGCAACUUCUGGAAGAUGUGGAAGCAGGAAUUUAAGCUGUGCUUUUUCUGCUGAAAUUUAUAAGGAUUCAUUUUAGGAUUUCUUGAAAGAUUCAGAAAACUUGAGACGAACAAAGGAAGCAAACCUUCCCGAUGAUGAAGACUUCUUGAAGGAUUUCAUGGGUGAUUUGGGAUCCCAGGACCAUUUGGCUAGUGUGCCUAGGUGACCACAUGAUAGCUGUUUUACCAGGAAUGCAGCAUCCCAUUGACAAAACAAGUGCUCUGAGAAGGUUUAAAAUACUACAGAGAAUAUGGGAACACAGAUCUUGAAAUUUAGCUGAGUUGUAACAGCUGAAACUCUAAGAGGUGUCUUCCUUGUUUGAGGUGAAACUAGUGUUGCUUCCAGAGGGCAGCUGGAAACCGUAAAGCUGUUUGGAAAUCUUUUUGACUGACUUGCUGACAAAGAGAUACUGUGAUGCAUUUUAACAAUAUCUAAGUUGAUUUUUUUUUAAAUCAAGGAAAAUAAAAACCAAGCAUGAAUGCUAUGGUAUGUGCCCCUUUUGACCAUCCUGGGCUGAUUAGCAUCAUUUAAAUCAAAGUAAUCAUAAAAAGGCAUAUUCUACUUCAAUUCUGUGGUCAAAAAAGAGUAAACACACACACUCACACAUGCUGACCCCAAUUGCCAGAGCAUUACUGCACUAUAAAUUACGGUUAAUUCCCAAAUUAUACUACUGUUUAUCUUAUUUAACAAGUCAGAAAGCACUUUUAAAAUAACUUGAGGGCUACAAGGUCAUUCUAUUAAUGUCAUUCUCCAUUCGGGUUGUAGGCAUGUGGAAGUACCCAUUAAAAGAUAAGUUAGAGUUUAAACACUGAUAAACAAAACCUUUUAUUGCAACUGGACAGUUUCUGGAGAGUUAGCGGAAGAAUCUUGGAGUUUCCUUUGGUCAGAUGAAUACAACAUUUCACUUUUGCAGCACUAUUUAGAAUGUACUCCAUGGUUCUCUUGUUCCCAACUUCCAAAAAGAACAGAAAACUUUGGUUUACACAGAACACGGGCAUCUGAGGCAGGACCUCUUCCUUGCCCUUUGAUCUGACUCACACCUCCACAUAUGACGUAAUCAACCCAAAUUUGACACCAAUUCACUCUUUUCUGCAAAGGGCAUAUUUUGAAACAAGGGACAGCCUGAGGGCGGCUGUAAUGAGAAUGUUCAUGGGGGUUACUGGGUCCCUAAUUCUGAACUUGCUUAUGACACCCAGAAUGAAUAGAUUCAGAUUCAGAACCUUCUGAGAAAUAACCCAAAGAAAAUUUGUUACCCAGCCAAUUCUUCGAAAGCUUAAUAUCAAAAUAUAUCUUUUCAAGAAGAAAAUCGUUAGAGAGAAGAAUGUGGAGGGGAGAGAAAUGGGUUUCUCAUUGAUAUGAUAUUUUGUUAACCAUUUCAUUUUGAAUUAUUCAAGUUUUGGUUAAUAUUGUAUUCUAUUUUCGCAACUAUUUUACCGUGAGAGUAGGUCAUUGGGUUACUUAGAUAUUUAUUUUUACACAGUUAUUAGUCUUCAGAUAGUUUUAUUUUACUUCAUAUGAUUUUAGUUUUUGUCAGUAUAAUUUUAAAUCAUGUUUUUCUUGGUCAUCUCUUUGUGUAUAUUGUGUAAUUGGAUUUUCAUUGACUGCAAGUGGAGUGUUUGCCACUCAAUUCAGUACUCAGUACUAUGGUGACUUGUUUUCAAAUAAGUCUCAGAUACACGUUUAGGGAGCCUUUGCUGGCCGAAUAUAGACUCUGUCAGGACAGCAGGUCCCCUGAUCUAAGAAUUUUCCCCAAUGGUUGCUCUAAAAAUGCUGCUAUUUUGCUGUUCACUGUAUUGCACUUAGGUAAAAAGAAGAUAAUGUGAAAGAUGAGAGCAGUUUUUUAAAGGAUCUUUUCAUAUACCCAAUUCCCUUAUUUUCAGAUGUCCCAUCAAUUUUAGAUAUGAAAGCUUUAAGUAAAAGUGUGUAUGCCCUUCUACUGUCAGAACAGGAUGGAUGCAGCCUGGGUCAGAUUUAUUUGAGAUAAAAAUCAUGCAGACUCAUCAUUCAUAUCAUAGGUGAAAAAUGUAAAAACAAAAUGGUUUCCACUAAAGCCACCAAGAUCUUUUAGAAAUGUUUGCACCUUUGGUGGUGGCACAGGAAAAGAGAAGAAUUCAGCUGGAGUGAAUUCUAGAAGUAGAUAUCAGAAACGGGGCAUGAAGAACAGGGGAACUGGGUGGCAUCAGACUCCUAAAGAAGUGAGUUAAUUUUCCUUCCCUUCCAUUCAGAUUCAUGCCACAGCUCCAUAUCUUGAGUAUGUGUAAGAGGUGAGUUCUUUCUUCAGCCAGGGGCGGUGGCUCAUGCCUUUAAUCCCAAUGCUUUGGGAGGCCAAGGUGGGAGGAUCACUUGUGCCUUGGGGUUCAAGGCUGCAGUGAACCACGAUUGCACCACUGCACUCCAGCCUGAGUGACAGAGCAAGACCCUGUCUCUAAAAAUAUAUAUAAAAAGUAAAACUAAAGAACUUCUUGCCUAAACCUGAAUUACCGCAAUUUGCUGAGUGACUUUGAGAAAAAUCAGACUGUUUAGUUCAGUCGGGAUGAAAAGCUUGCGAUUGCUUCCCACAAGAAUGGGCAAUAGUGACGGCUGCAAGGUACUUUUAUUUGUUCAUGAAAGAACGACAAUUUUUCAAAAUGUAAUUAAACAUAAUAGAAUGUUUUAAACUACUGGGCACUGAAACUGGAAGAAAAAGGAGGCUUUAUUGAACAUUCCCCUUUUUCAGUUGGUUCAAAGUUCAGCACUGUGGUUAUCAUUGGUGAUGCCAGAAAACAUUAGUAGACUUAGACAAUUGCUAUGGCAGUUUCUAAACAGAGCUUUUUCUAUACACUAUUUGCAACUGGAGUGCAAUAUUGUAUAUUCUGUGUUAAAGAAAUAAAGUAUUUUUAUCAUUUAUUAA